rnacentral:rRNA from 1 species
UACUAGAGGGUGUCCUAGUGGCAGACGGGUGAGUAACGCGUGAACAAUGUGCCUUCUUUCUGGGGAUACCGUUUGGAAACGAACGUUAAUACCGAAUGUGCUCUAAUUGCGGCAUCGUAGUUAGAGUAAACUGUUAGGGAGAGAAGAGCAGUUCGCGUUCUAUCAGCUAGAUGGUGGGGUAACGGCCUACCAUGGCGACGACGGAUAGCUGGUCUGAGAGGAUGAUCAGCCACACUGGAACUGAGACACGGUCCAGACUCCCACGGGAGGCAGCAGUGAGGAAUCUUGCACAAUGGGCGAAAGCCUGAUGCAGCGACGCCGCGUGAGGGACGACGGCCUUCGGGUUGUAAACCUCUGUCAGUAGGGAAGAAGAUUGACGGUACCUACUGAGGAAGCUUCGGCUAACUACGUGCCAGCAGCCGCGGUAAGACGUAGGGAGCAAGCGUUGCCCGGAAUUACUGGGCGUAAAGAGCUCGUAGGCGGGGGCGUGCGUCUGAGAGGAAAUCUCAAGGCUUAACCUUGGGGCUGUCUCAGAUACGGCGCUUCUUGAGGAUGUGAGAGGAAAGUGGAAUUUCCGGUGUAGCGGUGAAAUGCGUAGAUAUCGGAAGGAACACCAGUGGCGAAGGCGACUUUCUGGCACAUUCCUGACGCUGAGGAGCGAAAGCGUGGGUAGCGAACGGGAUUAGAUACCCCGGUAGUC